rnacentral:rRNA from 1 species
AGAGUUUGAUCCUGGCUCAGGAUGAACGCUGGCGGCGUGCCUAAUACAUGCAAGUCGAGCGAACAGAUAAGGAGCUUGCUCCUUUGACGUUAGCGGCGGACGGGUGAGUAACACGUGGGUAACCUACCUAUAAGACUGGAAUAACUCCGGAAACCGGGGCUAAUGCCGGAUAAUAUUUAGAACCGCAUGGUUCUAAAGUGAAAGAUGGUUUUACUAUCACUUAUAGAUGGACCCGCGCCGUAUUAGCUAGUUGGUGGGGUAAUGGCUUACCAAGGCAACGAUACGUAGCCGACCUGAGAGGGUGAUCGGACACACUGGAACUGAGACACGGUCCAGACUCCUACGGGAGGCAGCAGUAGGGAAUAUUGCUCAAUGGGGGAAACCCUGAAGCAGCAACGCCGCGUGGAGGAUGAAGGUUUUAGGAUUGUAAACUCCUUUUGUGAGAGAAGAUUAUGACGGUAUCUCACGAAUAAGCACCGGCUAACUCCGUG